rnacentral:rRNA from 1 species
GAUGAACGCUGGCGGCGUGCUUAACACAUGCAAGUCGAACGAGAAUCAACGGAUUGAGGAUUCGUCCAAAUGAAGUUGAGGAAAGUGGCGGACGGGUGAGUAACGCGUGAGGAACCUGCCUCGGAGUGGGGAAUAACAGUUGGAAACGACUGCUAAUACCGCAUGACACAUUGAGGGGGCAUCCCUUUGAUGUCAAAGAUUUAUCGCUGAAAGAUGGCCUCGCGUCCCAUUAGCUAGUUGGUGAGGUAACGGCCCACCAAGGCGACGAUGGGUAGCCGGACUGAGAGGUUGACCGGCCACAUUGGGACUGAGAUACGGCCCAG